rnacentral:rRNA from 1 species
GGAUCGGUGGCUAUACCGGAUGUGCCGUAGGUGAAGGUUAACUGCCAGAAGAUGAGCUCGCGUCUGAUUAGCUAGUUGGUAGAGUAAGAGCCUACCAAGGCGACGAUCAGUAGCUGGUCUGAGAGGACGAUCAGCCACACUGGGACUGAGACACGGCCCAGACUCCUACGGGAGGCAGCAGUGGGGAAUUUUCCGCAAUGGGCGAAAGCCUGACGGAGCAAUACCGCGUGAGGGAGGAAGGCUCUUGGGUCGUAAACCUCUUUUCUCAGGGAAGAACACAAUGACGGUACCUGAGGAAUAAGCAUCGGCUAACUCCGUGCCAGCAGCCGCGGUAAUACGGAGGAUGCAAGCGUUAUCCGGAAUGAUUGGGCGUAAAGCGUCCGCAGGUGGCAAUGUAAGUCUGCUGUUAAAGAGUCUAGCUCAACUAGAUACAAGCAGUGGAAACUACAUAGCUAGAGUACGUUCGGGGCAGAGGGAAUUCCUGGUGUAGCGGUGAAAUGCGUAGAGAUCAGGAAGAACACCAGUGGCGAAGGCGCUCUGCUACGCCGUAACUGACACUGAGGGACGAAAGC